rnacentral:lncRNA from 1 species
AUGGGGUGGCUGGCACUCACUCGGGGUGCUCCCCAUGGGGGGCUCAGGCUUUUUUUUCCUCCUCUCCUGGGCAGUCGGCGUGCCCGGCGGCCAGCUUUAGGUUUGGCCGGCCCUCGUGGUGAUGCCUCAUCGUUGCUUGGCCUCGGGGCCACGUCGCGGCUUGGGAAGGCGAGCAAACAGGGCUGGCAGGGAAGGGAAAAUAAUGAGUGGCUCGAGUGCUGGGAGCUGUGGGAAAGGGCCCUCUCGGCCGUCUCCCCGGGAGAUGUUUGGGAGCAUUCAGCCACAGCCCCGCUGCCGAAUCGCCCGUGGGGGGAAAGCGUGACGGGGCAGGCUCCGCUCUCCAAACAGGAUUCGGUCGGCCGUGCCAGGCGUUUACACAGAGCUGGAUUCCUCCGCGCCAGCCGGCAGCUGGCGGGCUGGGCGCGCGUUUGGGCAGGCGCAGAUUUGGGCAGGCAGCGCUGGGAAAGCUCCCGGGGCUGCGUGAGGUGCCCUCUCUGCCCGUGGCCCCAUGGCAGGGUCCCCGUGGUGCCAUCCCCGGGGUCCCCGUGGUGCCAUCCCUCAAGGAGCGGGGUGCCCUUGGGGAUUUAUGUGGCUCCCUGCUGGCUCCUGCAGGGCCGGGAGCCCACGCCACAUGUCAUGAGCUCCCCCAGGUCUCAGCCUGGCCCCUUGCAGGCAGAAGCAGCCUGUGGGUGUGGGGGGAGAGGACAGCGCCGCACUGGGACGUCUGGUGGCUGCCGCUGUCACUCAGUAACCAGCUGCCCUGCGGCCCCGUGCCAGGAGCUGUCAUUAGGCAGUAAAAGCUUGUCGGAGGAGCAAAGGGGCAGCUGGGGGGGGAGCAGGGGUGCAGGAAGGGAGGCAGCAGGGGUGGGAGACCCUCAGCAGUGGGUUUGGGCCCCUCAGCCCGCACCCGAGGGUGCCAAGGGGAGCACCGGUAGCCAGGUCCCAAAGAUGCUGCUGUCCCCACGAGCACCCGGCCCUGCUGCCCCUUGGGACGAUGGAGGGAACGGGAGGCCUGCGAGCACCCGGGCCCCUUGCUGA